AGUUGAAUACGAAUAGUGAUGGACAAAAAGCAAAAAUGGAAUGGAGUAAAUAGCAGCCCUUUUUAACCUAACCAUCUUCAAGCUCGGUUUUGAAAAGCGAUUCCUUAAUCGAAUCUCAUGACAUAAGAAGAAUCAGAAGCUUAUUGAAAUCCACUACAGUAUUUCUAUACUUUUGAAAUUUCGCAACGUAUCACUCGCCUGUGGAUUCUUCUGUAAUGGAACCUGCACCUCAUACCAACAGUGCAUCUGAUAUCAUGCCACCUGCCAUAGGGCUCCCUCAAGUCAUUUGAUCAGCUAACCAAGAUUAUCCUGUUCACUCCAUUGCACUGUUGAAUCUCACUGCAAUCGGAUAAUUGGUUCUACAAGAUCUACAUGGAAAGCUCAACUUCGGCCACAAAAGCUACUGGAAAACAAGCAUGUCAAAGCAACUCUAUGGUUCCAAUUCUUCAAACUGAGGAAUGUCAGAUAACUUCAGAGCUACUGGAAUGAUGAUUGUUGAUCCAAAUUCAUCAGAAUGCUAUGCUUUUAUAAUGAUUGGAAGUUUGGUCCAUUACUAAGGGGAAAAAAUCAACUAAUCAAGUCACAACAAUUCUAGGUUCCGUGAUUGGAAGUUUUGGACUUGUUGCUUGUAAAUGUAGGUUUUAUUAUAUCCCUAGUUCGCAAGCAAAAGAGUUAGAAUAAUAUUUAAAUCAGGCAUGUGGAAUGUCCACUCGGUUUUUCGUAUGAAAAGUUGAAAUUUAACAUAGAAAAUUUUAGUAAAAAAACUUUGGGAGGGAUGAGCAAGAUAAGUUUUUUAAGGGACUCUUGAGGAUGGCUCAAACAUUCACCAAUCACCAUGUAAAUUUAGUUAAGCUUAGAGGUUUUUGUGGUUGGAAAUCACGGUUUGUUGUGUAUGAAAUCAUAAGUAACAAAUGAUUAGAUUGGUGUAUCUAUCAUAGAGAAAGGGAAUAUAGAAAGAAAAUCAUUCUUUAUAUAGCCAAAGGUUUAACAUGUAUAUAUGAAGAUUGUGGGCAAAAAUCACCCCCUUACUGCUAACCUCAAAACAUACUCCUAGACAUCGACCUCAAUGCAUUUUAACUGCUUUCUAAGAAUGAAAAGACAAGCAUUUAAAGUAUCCAUCGGAAAGAUACACAAGAACCUCAAUCUAACUCACCUUGGAGCUGAUAGGAUAGUAGGCAACAUUGGUUGUGAUCUCUUGAGCUUAGACAAUCCAAAAUCCGAUACUUUGGCAUUGAAAUCUUCAUCUGGGAGUAUGUUUUGAGGUUUAAUAUCGAGGUGGAUGAUUUUUUGCCUACAAUCUUCAUGAAGAUAUGUUAAACCUUUAACUAUAUCAAGAAUAAUUUUCUUUCUACAUUUCCAUUCAAGAACCUGCUUCCGGUCUCCAUAGUAGAUCCACUGGUCUAAUGAUCCGUUACUCAUGAAUUCAUACACGAGAAGUCAUUGUGAUCUCUGAGCACAGAAUCCUCUAAGUUGAACUAGAUUCACGUGGUGAAUCCUGCCAAUGGACUCAACCUCAACAUGCACAAGACCUUGAAAGACAUUUUACUGCAAUAUUUGAGCCAUCUUUGAGAGUCCCUUCUAAAACUGAUCCAAAUCCCCCCUCCCCAAGCUUUUUACUGAAAUUUUCUGUGGCUGUUUUUAGUUCUUCAUGGGAAAACCAAGUGGGCAUUCCUGAAACUUGAUCUAGAUACUCUUCUUCACUUUCACUAUCCAUACUUUCUUUUGAACUAUGAAUUUAGUAAAAACCUACGACCACAAUAACAAGUAUAAGACUUCCAAUUGUGGAACCGAGAACUAUUGCAACGUUAGUUUUUCUCUUUGGUGAUCGACCAUGAGCUCGGGGUAUAGACGAAGGAGUUGAACUUACAUUAUGUACUUUUAUAAAAACCGAAAUAUUGUGUGGAACUGGAAGUAUGCCUGCAUCAUGACUCGUCAUUGUAAAAAGCUCAGAAGGUAAAUAGCAAUCCCUCUUGUUGAAUUUGAACAAGAGUCAAAUAGGAAUGAUGGAGGUAUAUCGAUCACACUAUAAACAAACUUUUUGAGUAAAGUACAAAUUUGGUCCAUGUGGUAUACCAUUUGUUAUGAACUAGUGGUGAACCCUCCUGUGAUGCUGCGGAAAUUGUGUAUUUACAGUAGGCAUGAAAUAAUAUGCAUUAUGAUUAUAUUUAGUUGUAAAGAGUUAAUUAAGAACUUCAAAAAAGAUUUAAUGUCACGAGAAGAAAAUUAAUUUGUAACAUCAGUAAGUAAAGUGCCUGUAUGCACAAUCCAAGCAAGUGAGAAAUCUGUUUCUUUCGAGUGUUUAAUUAUUAAUGAAUAACGAUAAUGAUUAUCAAUUAUUUAUUGGUGAUUGUGAAUAUAUUAAUCUUUGAUAAUUUCGUUGUUUCCGUUUGACUUGUUUUGUAUUACCUUUGACAUAAAAGAUUUUACUUUAUUACCUAUAGAAGUUUAAAAUACAGGUUUGAUAUUGUUCUUAGGGAGUUCAAAAUGCCAUGAAAAAACAAACAAAAAAUAACAGAUUAGGUGCUUUUGUUUUUAUAAUCAUUAUUGUAUAUAAUAAAAAUGUUGCCAAAAAUAUAUAUUUAGAAGCAAAAAAAAAUCAUUUUGAAGGGCCUUUUUUUUCCCGACUAUCUGGGUCCUCAAACGAAAUUACAUAUCAUAAUGAUAAACUAUUAUAAAUUAGUAACAAAAACCUUGUAUAUUAAGAACGACAGAUGUGACUUUCAUAAUAAAACGUAUGUAAAAAUGAUUACGUUGAACACAGUGCAAAAAAAAGUCGAUAAAUCUUACAAAUCACACUUCAACAAAUGACAACCAAUAAAAAAAAUUGUUAUCAUCUUUCUAUCAAUAAUUUCUCCCUCUAACUCACUACCGAAAACCAAAUAUGAGAUUCUUAAAACGUAUGUAUAGAUUAGCAAAUCAAAUUAUACCAACUCACCAUUUUAUUUGCCCCCGUAAUUUAUCAAGAAAUGUGGUUAGGGAUCAGGGGUACGUAUAUAAAUAUAUAUAUAUAACUACAUACAAUACAAUCAUCAACAACAAAUAAAAACCUUUCACCUAAUCUCAACCCCAUCUUUAGAUAAUCAAAAGGUAAAACCUUUAUUAAUUCCCUCUUAAUAUAUAUCUCCAAUUUUACCCUUCAAUAUCGGCGUCCUUCAUGUCUCAUACUCUUGCUCCCAUAAAAGACUGCAAAACGUAACCAAAUAAAAAAUCAACAAUCGUAUACAUAUAAUGGAGGGCGUUUUGGACAUUAUAUACCUUGAUUCCAGGUGGAGUGUUUCCGGGUUUAGAUGUUGUUGUGCUACUGAAGAGGCUGAUUCCGGAGUUGAAUUUUGACUUUUUUUCAGCGGGUUUUAGGAUUUGAAAUGAACACAUAAGAGUCUCAUCAACACUCAUCAUUGCUCCAGCAUUAUCAAAUUCUCCACAGUAGU